AUCCAGCUGACGAGUCCCAAAUAAGACGAAACGCACAUUCAACUGGAU
rnacentral:hammerhead_ribozyme from 1 species